GCUGGGCAUGGUGGCACAUGCCUAUAAUCCCAGCAACUUGGGAAGUUGAGGCAGUAGGAUCACAAGUUCCAGGCCAGCUUCAGCAACUUAGUGAAACCCUGUCUCAA
rnacentral:sRNA from 1 species